GCUUGAGGACGAUCCAAGGCCAGGCGUGGUAGCAUGUGCCUGUAAUCCCAGUGCUUUGGGACACCGAGGCAGGAGGAUCACUCGAGCCCAGGAGUGCGAGGCUGCAGUGACGCUAGACUUCAGGAAGACCCCCCAUUUCUGCUCCACUCCUGGGCUUGGAGAAGAGUACAGCUGCUCUUGACUGGUGGGACCUUUUGCUGGCUAGGGGUGAUGGGAGAAGCAAGAGAGGGAUCCACACACCUGCGCUUAGCUUUCUAUGACCUUGGCGGGUGGAGGCCAAAGCUGCUAUCUUGGAUGACCCCAUGGAGUGCAGCAGAGGGGAGCGGCUCUCCAUCACCCUGGCCAAGAACCGCAUCAACCGUGCUCCUGAGAGGCUGGGCAAGGCCAAGGUCGAAGUGGACAUCUUUGAGCUUCUCAGAGACAGCGAGUACGAGACUGCAGAAACCAUGUGUCAGAUCCUCCCCAAGGGGGUGGUCGCUGUCCUCGGGCCAUCGUCCAGCCCAGCCUC
rnacentral:sRNA from 1 species